rnacentral:rRNA from 1 species
UACGGAGGGUGCGAGCGUUGUCCGGAAUCAUUGGGCGUAAAGGGCGCGUAGGUGGCCCAGCAAGCGUGCGGUGAAAGCUCGGGGCUCAACCCCGAGUCGGCCGUGCGAACUGCUGGGCUGGAGCACUGUAGAGGCAGGCGGAAUUCCGGGUGUAGCGGUGGAAUGCGCAGAUAUCAGGAGGAACACCGAUGGCGAAGGCAGGUCUCUGGGCCACUACUGACGCUGAGGAGCGAAAGCGUGGGGAGCGAACAGG